rnacentral:rRNA from 1 species
AUUGAACGCUGGCGGCAUGCCUUACACAUGCAAGUCGAACGGUAACGGGCCUUCGGGUGCCGACGAGUGGCGAACGGGUGAGUAAUACAUCGGAACGUGCCCGAUCGUGGGGGAUAACGAGGCGAAAGCUUUGCUAAUACCGCAUACGAUCUACGGAUGAAAGCAGGGGACCGCAAGGCCUUGCGCGGACGGAGCGGCCGAUGGCAGAUUAGGUAGUUGGUGGGAUAAAAGCUUACCAAGCCGACGAUCUGUAGCUGGUCUGAGAGGAUGAUCAGCCACACUGGGACUGAGACACGGCCCAGACUCCUACGGGAGGCAGCAGUGGGGAAUUUUGGACAAUGGGCGCAAGCCUGAUCCAGCCAUGCCGCGUGCAGGAUGAAGGCCUUCGGGUUGUAAUCUGCUUUUGUACGGAACGAAAAGCCUUCUUUUAAUACAGGAGGGUCAUGACGGUACCGGAAGAAUAAGCACCGGCUAACUACGUG